UUAUAUUUAUUUCUUUUGCGUUCAUUUUCAAAUUCGCCGUGCAUAUAUUUUUGUGCAUGGCGCUUGAGAGGGCAUCACGUGACUAAAAACGACCAACCAACGACCUCGCUUCGGCCAUCUUGGCAUCUUCAUCUUGGCCACCUUGACCUUGCUUUGCCGUGGGUGGAUCGUUGUUUCUAUUAUUUGUGCUUUUUAAGAAUAUUUUUUUAAUUCGGAUACUUUUAUAAUAGCUUUAAUAGUAUUAUUAACAUAGUGAAUAAAAUGGUGUCCUGUUUUUAACGCAGUUGGAGUAGCAGAAACAAAUGUAGAUAAAGAAAUCUGCAGGAAUAACGUUUCAAUUAUGACAGAAGCUCCAAACAAAUGACUGAAUGAAAAGCCCUAUUAAAAGCUUUCCAGAAGAUCCUGCGAAGAAGACAUGAAGUAUAGAUCAGAUUUGUUAAUAGAGGAGUAUGUUCAAAACACUUUUUAGAAAAAGAUAUUGACAGAACUUCACUUUCAUCUGUUCGUUUAAGAGACUGUGCUGUUCCAAUAGAUUAUGUCACACAGAAUCAGCUGAGAGAAGUGGUCUACAAAAAACCAGAAAGGAAACGGAAUAUGUGGCUACGAAAAGCAAAAGAAAGGUUUACAAAGCAAAUGUGACACAUUUUUUUAUAAUAUUUAGGAAUGUCAGUAAAUUACAUUAAAAAAUGUAUGUAAAGAUUUUUUGCAAUAAAAAUGUUUAUAUUUA